rnacentral:lncRNA from 1 species
GCGGCUUUGAAAGGAGCACCUUGUGAGAGGUGUCUCCCCCUUAUGGGGCUUGCCCUGCAGAUCUGGAGUUCUGCUGUGCUUUGGGGAUGGGCUCUUACAGAGGCCUGCCCUGCAGCUUUCCUCCCUAGCUCUUGCCUGGAUCUUGGCUCAGAGUCCCUGGGGUAGAGAAGUCUGCCUGGGGUGACCCAGGAGGGCCCACACCUGCUGCUUGCUCCUAUUACCCCUUCUUGCUGCCUCCUCAGUGCCCAAGGAGGCCCCAAUUGUGCGUAGGGGCCAGGGCAGCCCAGGACUGGCUGAGGCCCUGUGUGGAGACAGGGCUAUCAGCGAAAGGCAGAAUCUGCUUUAGUUCAUCUGUUCAGACAUAAUAAACAUUCUCUCAGGUCAGAGCCUGUGUCCUCUC